rnacentral:rRNA from 1 species
UUAAAUUGAAGAGUUUGAUCAUGGCUCAGAUUGAACGCUGGCGGCAGGCCUCACAUAUGCAAGUCGAGCGGA